rnacentral:rRNA from 1 species
AAAUUGAAGAGUUUGAUCAUGGCUCAGAUUGAACGCUGGCGGCAGGCCUAACACAUGCAAGUCGAACGGUAGCACAGAGAGCUUGCUCUCGGGUGACGAGUGGCGGACGGGUGAGUAAUGUCUGGAAAACUGCCUGAUGGAGGGGGAUAACUACUGGAAACGGUGGCUAAUACCGCAUAACGUCGCAAGACCAAAGAGGGGGACCUUCGGGCCUCUUGCCAUCAGAUGUGCCCAGAUGGGAUUAGCUUGUUGGUGAGGUAACGGCUCACCAAGGCGACGAUCCCUAGCUGGUCUGAGAGGAUGACCAGCCACACUGGAACUGAGACACGGUCCAGACUCCUACGGGAGGCAGCAGUGGGGAAUAUUGCACAAUGGGCGCAAGCCUGAUGCAGCCAUGCCGCGUGUAUGAAGAAGGCCUUCGGGUUGUAAAGUACUUUCAGCGGGGAGGAAGGUGUUGUGGUUAAUAACC